rfam:Nocardia cyriacigeorgica GTH-2 chromosome complete genome
AGCUCCACCGGAUCGACCGCGCGGGUCACCAUCAGGUAGUUGCGGAUCAUGAUCUCGUGCCGGUUCUC